UACGUAGGGUGCAGGCGUUAAUCGGAAUUACUGGGCGUAAAGCGUGCGCAGGCGGUUUCUUAAGUCAGAUGUGAAAGCCCCGGGCUUAACCUGGGAACUGCGUUUGAAACUGGGAGACUUGAGUGUGGCAGAGGGGGGUGGAAUUCCACGUGUAGCAGUGAAAUGCGUAGGUAUGUGGAGGAACACCGAUGGCGAAGGCAGCCCCCUGGGUUAACACUGACGCUCAUGCACGAAAGCGUGGGGAGCAAACAGG
rnacentral:rRNA from 1 species